CAAAGAGUUACCAUUACAACAAGGACAGAGAAUACUUUUCAGUGUUUCACAAAGUCCUUCUGUUCUGUUCAUUUUUUAAAUAAAUUUGUCGUGUCCCACAGACAAAUCUCACUUUAACUACGCUACACUGUCCCCAUCAUUUUUGGUGGUACUGCUCUGUUUCAUCUGUAUCCCUAAUCUUUCAGAAAAUAUGAAUAAAUGUGGAGGACAGCAGAGUACAGACAGAAGGCUCCAUCCAUCAUGUCUGUAUAUGUAUCCAGUGGCCUCAGAAGACAAAGUUCAAGAGUGACAGUGGCAACUGGAGGAUAUCUUGUUUUAUUUGUUACACAAUGCAUUAAAAAUAACACACACACACACACACACACACACACACAAAUACUGAAUACAUUAAACACAUAUCCGUAGCAAUGUUUAAAAAUAUUCAUGAUCAGAAUGAUAAAAACUGAAAAGGAGGAAUGUUGGACUUGUACAUAUUUCUGCUGGACAGACUUUCUGAAGUCACCUUAUAUUCAUGAUCUCUUUGAUAAGACAUUCAUCCAUUUUAUAUAAUCUACAUAAUUCUCCAUGACAGUGUCAUGUACCACAGUUCAUGAAGAAAGAUAAAAAAGUUCAUUUGUGGAGGUUCGACCUCUUCAUAGCUGCAGCUCAUCAGCCCAGUGGCUCUGCAGGAGAACAGAGGAUAGAUUAGUGCAGCAGAAACUACAUUCACUCAUAAUACAUCAAUACCUCUCACUUC